rnacentral:rRNA from 1 species
UACGUAGGGUGCGAGCGUUGUCCGGAAUCACUGGGCGUAAAGCGCACGUAGGCGGAUUGCUAAGUCAGGGGUGAAAUCCUGGAGCUCAACUCCAGAACUGCCUUUGAUACUGGCGACCUUGAGUCCGGGAGAGGUGAGUGGAACUGCGAGUGUAGAGGUGAAAUUCGUAGAUAUUCGCAAGAACACCAGUGGCGAAGGCGGCUCACUGGCCCGGUACUGACGCUGAGGUGCGAAAGCGUGGGGAGCAAACAGG